AUUGAACGCUGGCGGCAGGCCUAACACAUGCAAGUCGAGCGGAUGAAGGGAGCUUGCUCCUGGAUUCAGCGGCGGACGGGUGAGUAAUGCCUAGGAAUCUGCCUGGUAGUGGGGGAUAACGUCCGGAAACGGGCGCUAAUACCGCAUACGUCCUGAGGGAGAAAGUGGGGGAUCUUCGGACCUCACGCUAUCAGAUGAGCCUAGGUCGGAUUAGCUAGUUGGUGGGGUAAAGGCCUACCAAGGCGACGAUCCGUAACUGGUCUGAGAGGAUGAUCAGUCACCCUGGAACUGAGACACGGUCCAGCCUCCUACGGGAGGCAGCAGUGGGGAAUAUUGGACAAUGGGCGAAAGCCUGAUCCAGCCAUGCCGCGUGUGUGAAGAAGGUCUUCGGAUUGUAAAGCACUUAAGUUGGGAGGAAGGGCAGUAAGUUAAUACCUUGCUGUUUUGACGUUACCAACAGAAUAAGCACCGGCUAACUUCGUG
rnacentral:rRNA from 1 species